rnacentral:tRNA from 1 species
UCCAGGGUAGCCUAGUGGACAUGGCAUCUGCCCGGUAAGCGGAACGUUGUAGGUUCGAUUCCCAUCCCUGGAC